rnacentral:rRNA from 1 species
UGGGGAAUUUUGCACAAUGGGGGGAACCUUGAUGCAGCGACGCCGCGUGAGGGAUGGAGGCCUUCGGGUUGUGAACCUCUUUCGCUCGUGUGCAAGCCGCUAUUUGGGUAGUGGUGAGUGUAUCGGGUAAAGAAGCGCCGGCGAACUACGUGCCAGCAGCCGCGGUAAUACGUAGGGCGCGAGCGUUGUCCGGAUUUAUUGGGCGUAAAGGGCUUGUAGGCGGUUUGUCGCGCCUGUCGUGUAAUCCUCUGGCUUAACUGGGGGUGUGCGGUGGGUACGGGCAAGCUUGAGUGCGGUAGGGGAGAUUGUAUUUCCUGGUGUAGCGGUGGAAUGCGCAGAUAUCAGGAGGAACACCGGUGGCGAAGACGGGUAUCUGGGCCGUUACUGACGCUGAGUAGCGAAAGCGUGGGGAGCGAACAGG